rnacentral:lncRNA from 1 species
CUGAAGUCUAAAGAUACCAAUUGGAAUACAUUAUCCACAGUUACCAGCUGUGGAAUUUUGAGCAUAAGUAAGUUACUAAUCUCUUAGUCUUACUUGCUCAUCUGUUGCCAAGAGCUGGAAGAAGAUGGCCUCUGCAGGGUCACCUUCCAAGUCCCUCAGGAAGGCAACUAACGGGAGGAACUUAAUGUGCAUCCAGAGACCAAGAUGGCGGGAGUGUGGGAAACGUGGCUUUUAGCAUGCCAGCACCUUCCAAAGGGAAGAUAGGUGGAAUGGAGGUGAAGGGACCGAUGCAAAGUGCUAAACACAAGUUUAAAAUUUGGACUAUGGCUGUUUACAAGGAAGAAUCAAUGUCUUCACACAGGGAGAUCUUUAAAGGCUUUAUUAAAAUGCAGAGAAGGCUUUCCAACAAGGAUGCGAGGGCAGAUGGAAGUGAGAGGCCUUCAUAACGAGAUUAAGCAGAUGGGAAAGUUUACGACUAAUGAGAAGGGCAAAAGGACGCUAAAAGUGAUCAUUUUCUUGAAAUUAUAGUGAGGAGAAGGAUCUGUGCUUUACGUCUUGGGAACCUCCUCUGGUCAUGAACUCAGAAUGGGAAUUUUUUCCAGUAUUCUCUGGGGUAGCUGCUUUCAGAAAGAGGCGGAAAGGCAUGACACUACUUUAAGGUGUUCUAACAGUCUAUCAGAGUCUGCGAUUCAGCCACUUAGAACUUUCAAGACAGUGUGUUGAAGGUAUGGAUGGGACUGAGGAAGAAUACAAUGGGAUAAAUUCUGUGAAUUUCAAGGCUAAUUAAUCUCAAGAAGUUUAUCAUUGAUGACAGCUGCUACGGCUUGAUCCUGCUCUUGCAAGUUUGCCAGGAAAGCCCCUGUCUCAAGAAUAUCAAGGAGCGGGGGCUUCCCAGACCUCAACUCCUCCGACUCCCGGGCUUGAACCCGCCUCAAACAGGAAGACGAGACAACGGUGAAGGACGCACACCUGCCAUCCUCCUAUCUCACCAUGCG